rnacentral:lncRNA from 1 species
CCGAAAAGGGGGCAGCAAGCGGGCAGAGGUACGGCCGCGGAGGCGGGUGGGUUGAGAUCGACAACGGUGGUGGUUGAGGUCGGUCGCGGUGGCGAGUCGUGUGGCAGCGGCCUGGGCACAGGCCAGGGUGGACCAGGGUCGACGCGAUGCGCUCGAGCGCCGCAACGGGGGCGGUGAGCGGGGAGAGGUACGGCUGCGGAGGCGGGUGGGUUGAGAUCGGCAACGGUGGCAGUUGAGGUCGGCCGCGGCGGCGAGUGGUGUGGCGGCGGCCUGGGCACAGACCAGGGUAGCCCAGGGUCGACGGGAGGAGGCGAUGCGUACGGGUAUAAUUUUUUCAGCGAAUCGUUUUUUCCUUUUGCGUUCCAGAUAAAUGAUGGAGCGCGGGUUGAAUAACAAAAAUUACAGGGGCUUUUUUGUAAAAAUGCCUCCGUGGGUUUUCCGACGGAAGCAAUAGCCUCUUUAUUAGUAGGUAUAGAGGUAUAGAUUCUUAACCAAUUAUUUUAAGAGUGAUUCUCUUGUAAUCUCUUCAAAAUGGUUAGGGGAUACGAUAGCUGACUACCUCUGAAUAAAUUGUAGAUAUAACCUUAUCUAGAGCAUAUGACCAGUCCAAGUCUACCAUCUGUUUUUCUUUAGUAACAGAUAACAGAUAAACAUCACGCUCUCUACAUAAGUUGUUACCUGUGAGUUGUGAGUAACUCUAUCUGUGCACGUCACAUUACUGGCCUCUACUUCUUGCACAAACUCCAUUGACCAUAAGAAAAUAAUUCUUGUGCAAAUUUAAAAUUCUAUGAUCAAGGAGCUUGCCAUGCUAGGUGAUAAGUGGUCAAGAAAACGGUGAUGAUGUAACUAUUCUCGUAUGAGUUGUCGUGGAGUUUGGCGUGUUACCUGAUCCGUGAUCAUGCUAACGGUCAAACAUAACAUGGCUUGUACCAUGGCGCCAGUGAACGAAAUAUGCAGCACAACUGCGUUUAAUAUGUUACUUUCCAGUGCAUUAAUUUACACGCCUCUCCAAGAACCUCUCCCUUCAGUUCUCAAAUAUGUUUCACUUUUCAUUGGAAGCUCAUGUCAUUGUACUGUACAUUUUUUGCGCGAAACAGUUACCGUACAUUUUUUGCGCGAGACAGUUACCCUACGUUUGUUACUACUGCCAUCUUUGAUGCAGCUCGACUAGUACAAUAUGUUAGGAAUAUGCAACUUGUAUUCCCAUGAGGCCAUAGACCGAUAUAUAUACAUGUACAGGUGUGGACUAUAUGCAGAAAACCCCUUAUACAAUGGGAUAAAUACAAAGGGGUACAUGGCUAUAUUAUAUAUACUCUAACAC